rnacentral:rRNA from 1 species
CCUACGGGGGGCAGCAGUGGGGAAUAUUGGACAAUGGGGGCAACCCUGAUCCAGCCAUGCCGCGUGUGUGAAGAAGCCCCUCGGGUUGUAAAGCACUUUCAGUGAGGAAGAACGCCUGGUGGUUAAUACCCAUCAGGAAAGACAUCACUCACAGAAGAAGCACCGGCUAACUCCGUGCCAGCAGCCGCGGUAAUACGGAGGGUGCGAGCGUUAAUCGGAAUUACUGGGCGUAAAGCGCGCGUAGGUGGCUUGAUAAGCCGGUUGUGAAAGCCCCGGGCUCAACCUGGGAACGGCAUCCGGAACUGUCAAGCUAGAGUGCAGGAGAGGAAGGUAGAAUUCCCGGUGUAGCGGUGAAAUGCGUAGAGAUCGGGAGGAAUACCAGUGGCGAAGGCGGCCUUCUGGACUGACACUGACACUGAGGUGCGAAAGCGUGGGUAGCAAACAGGAUUAGAUACCCCUGUAGUC